GAGCAUCGUGCCCAGGCGUGCGGUGUGUGGUUCCGCCGCACAAGAGUACUCACGCCCGCAUGUAUGAACGGGUCGGUUCGCCUGUUUGAAAAGUCUCUCGUGGAAGUUGCCGGUGUGUUCAUGGACUGUUUUGUAAUGCAGGUGUGAUAGUGUUGCACGGCCUGUGACCUCAUGACUGUUUUGCUGGUGUGUUCAUGGACUGUUGUGUAAUGCAGGUGUGAUAGUGUUGCACGGCCUGUGACCUCAUGACUGUUUUGCCGGUGUGUUCAUGGACUGUUGUGUAAUGCAGGUGUGAUAGUGUUGCACGGCCUGUGACCUCAUGACUGUUUUGCCGGUGUGUUCAUGGACUGUUGUGUAAUGCAGGUGUGAUAGUGUUGCACGGCCUCAGCGAGUCGGGGCGGGAUCAGAGGAGAGGAUAUCAGAGGGACGGGUCAGGCACGGCGUCUCGAAGAAGGCGAGGCUGUGCGGGUUUGGGAGUGUGCAAAUGAGGGAUGCACAGUGCGUGGGAGGAGGAUGGAGCCGCCCGGGAGGAGAGGAGGGCAGGGAAGAGAUUCUUGGACGCCACGGAGGAGGCCAAGCACUCCGGGCGGCGUCUGUGCAGCAGCCGGCCAGGAAGCCUCCAAGGCCCGCGUCGGCCACACGCCUCUCGCCGCGCGCCUUCCGUUGCACCCGAACACGUGCUCGCGUACAUGAAGGCGUGGGCGUAGAGGGGGUGCCUUUGGCGUGUUCAUAAGGCAGCCUCCAAGGCCCGCGCCGGCCAUAGGCCUCUCGCCGCGCCGCCCUCCGUUGCACCCGAACACGUGCUCGGGUACAUGAAGGCGUGGGCGUAGGAA